rnacentral:rRNA from 1 species
UACGUAGGGUGCAAGCGUUGUCCGGAAUUAUUGGGCGUAAAGGAGCUCGUAGGCGGUCUGUCACGUCGGCUGUGAAAACCCGGGGCUCAACCCCGGGCCUGCAGUCGAUACGGGCAGACUAGAGUGCGGUAGGGGAGACUGGAAUUCCUGGUGUAGCGGUGAAAUGCGCAGAUAUCAGGAGGAACACCGGUGGCGAAGGCGGGUCUCUGGGCCGUAACUGACGCUGAGGAGCGAAAGCGUGGGGAGCGAACAGG